AAACCAUGAUGGGGACAUUGUGUUAACAAGUCAUUGAACCUUUCCAAAUACCUAUACAAGGAUUCUCCCUCUUGCUGAGUAAACGUGCAGAUUUGCGUCCUAAUAGU